GAUGAACGCUGGCGGCGUGCCUAAUACAUGCAAGUCGAGCGAACGGACGAGAAGCUUGCUUCUCUGAUGUUAGCGGCGGACGGGUGAGUAACACGUGGAUAACCUACCUAUAAGACUGGGAUAACUUCGGGAAACCGGAGCUAAUACCGGACGAUAUUUUGAACCGCAUGGUUCAAAAGUGAAAGACGGUCUUGCUGUCACUUAUAGAUGGAUCCGCGCUACAUUAGCUAGUUGGUAAGGUAACGGCUUACCAAGGCAACGAUGCAUAGCCGACCUGAGAGGGUGAUCGGCCACACUGGAACUGAGACACGGUCCAGACUCCUACGGGAGGCAGCAGUAGGGAAUCUUCCGCAAUGGGCGAAAGCCUGACGGAGCAACGCCGCGUGAGUGAUGAAGGUCUUCGGAUCGUAAAACUCUGUUAUUAGGGAAGAACAUAUGUGUAAGUAACUGUGCACAUCUUGACGGUACCUAAUCAGAAAGCCACGGCUAACUACGUG
rnacentral:rRNA from 1 species